rnacentral:rRNA from 1 species
AGUCACUGACAUUAGAUACCCGGGUAGUCCCAGCCGUAAACAAUGUGCGUUAGGUGUGUCGGUAACCACGCGUUACUGAUGCGCCGAAGAGAAAUCGUGAAACGCACCACCUGGGAAGUACGGUCGCAAGGCUGAAACUUAAAGGAAUUGGCGGGGAGCACCACAACAGGUGGAGACUGCGGUUUAAUUGGAUUCAACGCCGGACAUCUCACCGGAUAAGACAGCUGAAUGAUUGUCAAUCUGAAGGUUUACAUGACUAGCUG